UCUACAACACAUCAGAGCGAGGAUCGAGCACACUCUGAAGCUUCACUCUUCGUACGAUCACCGCCUGCAGGACGGCCGACCGGAGAUCACCACCUGUCACUCAAAGACUGCCACCAACGUGGACUACAUCCUGUACACACCAGAACUCGUCCCCCCUCCUUCACUUCCUGGUGGGCGGGGCCUAACGCUACUUGGCAGGCUGUCAUUGGUCGGCCGGUCAGAGCUGGAGAAAGUCCACGGGCUGCCCAAUCAGAACCACUCAUCUGAUCACCUGCCCAUCUUCGCUCGUUUCCGCCUCCGCUGCUGACCCCCUAGAGGUCACGAUGCCUUCAAGUGCAGCUCAGGAAAGUACGGACGGUUAAGAUGUGGACAGAAGUGAAACGAAAUCAUAUCAAUUAAGUGUUUUGUGCUACGAGACAGAACAUUAGAGUCAGUAUUUCACCAACCAGCAAUUUCAGCCACAUUUAAAUACUCUUGAAAUCCUUAAUACCAAUAAUAAUCCAAUGUGUGUGUGACAGGAAAACCCUCAGUGUUGUUCAAAUGCAAAAUUAAAACACACCAAACUUUAACUUAGUAUUUCCAAAUGUUCCGGGACAAAACAGCUGACUGAAAUGUUCCCAUCUUUGAGUUUGAAUUUGUAAAAAUGUGUCACCUGUGUUCUAGUUAUUACUACAGGGCAGAAGGAAGACGGUUCCCCUGCAGAGUGUUUUAGUCUUAGUCUCCACUAUGAUGUAAAAAACGGUUUAAAAACACAUCACACUCGUCUGUGUUUGGAGAAAUGAAGUUAUGUAUGAAUUGAGUUUCCGGCACCAUGUGAUCUAUGAAGACAUUUUAAGACUUAUUUUUAAAGCCUUAAGUGAAAUCGCUGCCAACGACCUCUCUGUUUACUUUGACAACACGACGAAUAACAUCGCCCUCAAGCUGUUAUAGUCUGGUAUUGUUUAUAAGUGAAGACGUCGACAUGCAGCACAGUUCCUUUCACUACAGAACAACGUGGACAUAUUUUCCCCUGAAUAUUCAAUGUUUAGCUCAUUUUUAAGCUACAAAAAUGCAUGAAAUAUCAAUUGAAGAAAAUGAAAUCAGCUAUGACGUUUAACGUAUAUGUUCUAGUUUAAGUUGUGAUGUCAAACAUCGUGAAGCACAAGUUUCACGGCUACCGUUGUGUCGUUUGCAGACUUUUAAAAGCUUGAACACUGGAGUAUAAAUGUGCCGUCACGUUGAGAGGAAACUCUCGGUACUUUAUUUUGACAAAUAACGAGUGGAUGUAUUUUUCUUACACUUAUUUUGGAUCAGAUUGUAAAUAAAGGACUUGUGUUUUUCUA